rnacentral:rRNA from 1 species
GUGCCAGCAGCCGCGGUAAUACGUAGGUGGCAAGCGUUGUCCGGAAUUAUUGGGCGUAAAGCGCGCGCAGGCGGUCUUUUAAGUCUGAUGUGAAAGCCCCCGGCUCAACCGGGGAGGGUCAUUGGAAACUGGAGGACUUGAGUACAGAAGAGGAGAGUGGAAUUCCACGUGUAGCGGUGAAAUGCGUAGAGAUGUGGAGGAACACCAGUGGCGAAGGCGACUCUCUGGUCUGUAACUGACGCUGAGGCGCGAAAGCGUGGGGAGCGAACAGGAUUAGAUACCCUGGUAGUCC